AGACACCUCUGGUGCAUAGACCAUUCGUGCAGACACUGCAUCAAGUUCAAAAAUCGGAAGAGACGGUAAUGUUAAGACAAGUCACAAAAAAGGACGUAUCCUUCUGGUGACGAAAACAGAAAAAAGAAAAUGACAGAGGAGGAGAAAAACGAGCAAGAUACAGAGACACUGUUGAAGCACUGUUGAAGUUGGAGCACAUCUCUACCUCUACCUAACUCUACUUCAUCAAGUGUCUGCCUCCAUGGCUGAUGACACAGAAGGUUCGUCCACUGCAGAGUUGCAGAUGCUUGAAAGCCAGG